rnacentral:rRNA from 1 species
UACGUAGGGUGCAAGCGUUAAUCGGAAUACUGGGCGUAAAGCGUGCGCAGGCGGUUGUGCAAGACAGAUGUGAAAUCCCCCGGGCUUAACCUGGGAACUGCAUUGUGACUGCACGGCUAGAGUGUGUCAGAGGGGGGUAGAAUUCCACGUGUAGCAGUGAAAUGCGUAGAUAUGUGGAGGAACACCGGUGGCGAAGGCGGCUUCCUGGACCGACACUGACGCUGAGGCGCGAAAGCUAGGGGGAGCAAACGGG